rnacentral:sRNA from 2 species
UAUAUUCUCCGCUGGGGGGGGAUGAGAACCCCCGACCGGGGUUCGACAACUGGCAACGCCAGUUGGACAGACCGCGAGCCCGCGAGCGGGCUGCCCCGCAGGGGCGAGCGAAGCGAGUCAAUCCCCCCCUCACCGCCA